GGGGCAGCAGGUUUUCACAUGGAAACGGCCUUUCAAGUGUAAGGAAAGCUGGAGCUAUCUGAAAAGCCAUUAGAGGGCUGCUCCCGAGUGCUGUCGGCGUGCACAGAGCCAUCUGGAGGCAGUGUUCGCACAGGUUGCUUCAGGAUACAUCUUUGAUUUUCCAUGGAUUUGUAAUACUGUGAUGCUCCUGUGAAGCGCUUUUUUAGAAAAACCUUUGUAGGAAGAGCCAGCAGAAAGAACAUGCAAAAUUUCAGAUAUACAACUUUACUAGACACAGAAGCUCUGAGGUGUAGCUGACCAAAAUGUAUGGAGAGUCCAGAUUCCUAAUGUUGGGAUGUAACUGAUUGCUGUUUGUCUCAGGAGUUGUACAUGAAGUAGUUCACACCACUGACAAAAUUCAUUAUCAUGAAUUUCAUAAAAUUUAUGUCAAAAUACCAUCUAUCUGAAUAAAGUGGAACAUAAGAAAAAGUUAACAAAGAACUUUGUAAUGAAGCAAGCUGCUGAAAUAAUGUAUUUUAUCAUAAUAUUCUGGCUGUCCUAUUUCACUGGUGUCUAUACGUAAUUUAAUGCAGGAUUAAAGUAGAAUUAUUUAUGUUCAAUAUUUUAUUAAGUCAAUGGAGCAGAACAAGACAAAUGCAUUAAUCCACUUCUUUCAAUGUUUAGAUUUAAAAAAUAUCACUGAACCUGCCAUUGCAUUUGGGAAUGCAAUGCUGAAAGAUAAGGCGGAGCCACAAACUGCUUUAGGAAGAAAUUUGUGGUACCUGAAGAUGCCAGAUUUAGUAGGAUUCUCAGGGAGCUUUAUUUUCAAAAGAAAAAGGUGGGGGGAAAAUCUGUGUUUUUUGCAAAAAUCUGUGGGUUUUGUUGCUAACUCCCAAUAUUCCUUCUUUACAACACCCUCCUUGCAAUACUUACACGGUACGUGGUUUACAGAUAAAUCAGACCACAAGACCACAACCUGAUCAUUACACAGGCAGGUUUUUAGGCCACUUUUUGUACAAAAUUCUUGGAAAUUUCAGAGCUGACUUAAAUAUGUAGCCAUCUCCUCAUGUGUAGUGCAGACAGCUAGUAGCUUCUGAAGUUUAUGGUUUAUUCGGGUCCCUCUUGUCCUGAUAUUCAGUGUUGUAAGAUUUAUUCUUUAGAUUUUAGAAAAGUCACAGGCUUUAGAUUUUCACUUCUGGAUCUGAACUUCUAAGGUUCAGAUCACUUCUGCUCACAGGUAAAAAACCACAGAAGAUAGGAAGCUCUGGAUAAAGAUCUGAUGGAAGUAAUUUCUGGUAAUACGAUGAAUCACAUAAGUAAGUGGUAUGUCUGGGUAUAUGAUGAAUCACAGACUCAGAGGGAAGAAUGAAUGAACAGGGUCUGUUUGAUUGAGAGAGAAGGAAUGUACGUAAAUCUUCAAAUGUAUAACAGAUUUUAGCAAAGGAAGAAAUUCUUCAUGUCUUCAUGUCUCUAAUGAGCUGUAAAGAAAUAAUGGAGGAAAAAAA